CCUUUGAGUAGAGGCGCGCUGCCUAAAAGUAUCCAGAUGGAGGGUGACACCUUUGAAGUCUGGGGAAAGGAGUCGGCGCCGAAGUGUUUGUUGUGUCGUCAACAAUCGCUGGGUCUGCAUUAAAUAAGUGCAGAACUGCCAUAGUUAUUUUGUCUAUGGAGCGCUACCCUAAGG
rnacentral:ncRNA from 2 species